UACGUAGGGUGCGAGCGUUGUCCGGAAUUAUUGGGCGUAAAGAGCUCGUAGGCGGUCUGUUGCGUCGGAUGUGAAAACCCGGGGCUCAACCCCGAGCCUGCAUUCGAUACGGGCAGACUAGAGUUCGGUAGGGGAGUCUGGAAUUCCUGGUGUAGCGGUGAAAUGCGCAGAUAUCAGGAGGAACACCGGUGGCGAAGGCGGGACUCUGGGCCGAUACUGACGCUGAGGAGCGAAAGCGUGGGGAGCGAACAGG
rnacentral:rRNA from 1 species